rnacentral:tRNA from 1 species
AAAGGGCUGGUUAAUCUAUAACAUAAACUUGUCGAGUUUAAGUUGCCCAGUAUGGGCGCUCUUUU